rnacentral:misc_RNA from 1 species
GGACUCCUGCAAAUUUAUGCAUGACCGUGGAGAUUAUAAGUCUGGGUGGCAGAUGGAAAGGGAGUGGGAUGAAGCUGAGAAAGAGAGGAAAAGAAAAUUGGCUCUGGGAAUGCUCAAUGAAGACGAUGAGGAUGCAGAGAAGAGUGAUGAAGAUGACGACGAUGAUGCAUUACCAUUUGCUUGUUUUAUCUGCAGAGAGCCUUUUGUUGAUCCUGUUAUGACCAAAUGCAAACACUACUUCUGUGAGCACUGUGCAUUAAAGCACCAUGCAAAGAAUAAGAAGUGCUAUGUAUGCAACCAACCAACCCUUGGGAUAUUCAAUACAGCAUUUGAAAUACGCAAGAGGAUGGCGGCUCAAGGGAAAUGAUGGAUUUUCUGCCAGUUCUCUCUUUCACGAUGCCAUAGAAGUGGAUCUUGCUUUACUGUUGAAUGAUGAUUAUGAUUCAAGUAACAGGUUGUGAUUGAUGUAUGAUAAGGAAGUUUGAAACAAUACCAACGCUGGUGGAAGAUGAAGAUUAGGACAUUGACUUGAACGUCCAAUAUCACUUCAUGUGAAGAGUCGAUAUAUAUUUUCUUAUGUAAGUACGGCAACUUAUAUGGAAUUAGGUUAUGUGUCUUUCCUUUGCUUUGUUGCCUUAGUCAUGUAUUUUUGAAUUUUAAGCCUACAUGAUGAAUCACUUCAGUUGCUCG